rnacentral:rRNA from 1 species
AAGGGCUGGGAAAGACCGGUGCCAGCCGCCGCGGUAAUACCGGCAGCUCAAGUGGUCGUCGCUUUUAUUGGGCCUAAAACGUCCGUAGCCUGUUUGGUAAAUCUGUGGGUAAAUCAACCAGCUUAACUGGUUGAAUUCUGCAGAGACUGCCAGACUAGGGACCGGGAGAGGUGUGGGGUACUCUAGGGGUAGGGGUAAAAUCCUGUCAUCCUUAGAGGACCACCAGUUGCGAAGGCGCCACACUGGAACGGAUCCGACGGUCAGGGACGAAGCCUAGGGGCACGAACCGGAUUAGAUACCCGGGUAGUCCUAGGUGUAAACGCUGUGAACUUGGUGUCGGGGAUCCGUAAUGGGUUCUCGGUGCCGGAGUGAAGAUGUUAAGUUCACUGCCUGGGGAGUACGGUCGCAAGGCUGAAACUUAAAGGAAUUGGCGGGGGAGCACCGCAACGGGAGGAGCGUGCGGUUUAAUUGGAUUCAACGCCGGAAAACUCACCAAGGCCGACUGUUAGAUGAAGAUCAGCGUAAUGAGCUUAUCGGAUUUUCAGAGAGGUGGUGCAUGGCCGUCGUCAGUUCGUACUGUAAAGCGUUCUGUUAAGUCAGAUAACGAACGAGACCCUCAUCUUUAUUUGCUACCCCAUUCCCCGGAAUGGGCGCACUAUAGAGAGACCGCUGGUGUGAAACCAGAGGAAGGCGAGGGCAACGACAGGUCAGUAUGCCCCGAAUGUC